ACGAGGCACUACGGUGCUGAAGCAACAAAUGCCCUGCUUCCAGGAAAAGCCUCUAAGCAUCAGGUAACAUCAAAUCGUACCCCAAACCGACACAGGUGGUCAGGUAGAGAAUACCAAGGCGCUUGAGAGAACUCGGGUGAAGGAACUAGGCAAAAUGGUGCCGUAACUUCGGGAGAAGGCACGCUGACACGUAGGUGAAGUGAUUUACUCAUGGAGCUGAAGUCAGUCGAAGAUACCAGCUGGCUGCAACUGUUUAUUAAAAACACAGCACUGUGCAAACACGAAAGUGGACGUAUACGGUGUGACGCCUGCCCGGUGCCGGAAGGUUAAUUGAUGGGGUCAGCGCAAGCGAAGCUCCUGAUCGAAGCCCCGGUAAACGGCGGCCGUAACUAUAACGGUCCUAAGGUAGCGAAAUUCCUUGUCGGGUAAGUUCCGACCUGCACGAAUGGCGUAAUGAUGGCCAGGCUGUCUCCACCCGAGACUCAGUGAAAUUGAACUCGCUGUGAAGAUGCAGUGUACCCGCGGCAAGACGGAAAGACCCCGUGAACCUUUACUAUAGCUUGACACUGAACAUUGAGCCUUGAUGUGUAGGAUAGGUGGGAGGCUUUGAAGUGUGGACGCCAGUCUGCAUGGAGCCGGCCUUGAAAUACCACCCUUUAAUGUUUGAUGUUCUAACGUGGACCCGUGAUCCGGGUUGCGGACAGUGUCUGGUGGGUAGUUUGACUGGGGCGGUCUCCUCCUAAAGAGUAACGGAGGAGCACGAAGGUUGGCUAAUCCUGGUCGGACAUCAGGAGGUUAGUGCAAUGGCAUAAGCCAGCUUGACUGCGAGCGUGACGGCGCGAGCAGGUGCGAAAGCAGGUCAUAGUGAUCCGGUGGUUCUGAAUGGAAGGGCCAUCGCUCAACGGAUAAAAGGUACUCCGGGGAUAACAGGCUGAUACCGCCCAAGAGUUCAUAUCGACGGCGGUGUUUGGCACCUCGAUGUCGGCUCAUCACAUCCUGGGGCUGAAGUAGGUCCCAAGGGUAUGGCUGUUCGCCAUUUAAAGUGGUACGCGAGCUGGGUUUAGAACGUCGUGAGACAGUUCGGUCCCUAUCUGCCGUGGGCGCUGGAGAACUGAGGGGGGCUGCUCCUAGUACGAGAGGACCGGAGUGGACGCAUCACUGGUGUUCGGGUUGUCAUGCCAAUGGCACUGCCCGGUAGCUAAAUGCGGAAGAGAUAAGUGCUGAAAGCAUCUAAGCACGAAACUUGCCCCGAGAUGAGUUCUCCCUGAGACUUUAGGUCUCCUGAAGGAACGUUGAAGACGACGACGUUGAUAGGCCGGGUGUGUAAGCGCAGCGAUGCGUUGAGCUAACCGGUACUAAUGAACCGUGAGGCUUAACCUU
rnacentral:rRNA from 1 species